UCCACUAUAUUAAAUGCAAAUAUAGUAUAUCAGUGUUUUUAUCGUCUGUUUUGAUUACACACUUUAAAGGUAAAUCACAUUCCUUCUUUAAACACUCAUUUAAAUAUCACUUUUGGAUGCAUCCCUUUCUUGAUCUUUUCAAAAGUAAUCAAACUGGUUAAAUGGGUAAUGAAAGAAGGCAAAUGGAAGACUAUUUUCCCAAAUCUUUCACUGGAAAUUGGAUGAUGGAUGAAUUAACUUUUCGUAUCAUGGUUAUGAUACCCCUUCCUGUUCCUUGCCCAAGUAUUGAUUUGUGUUCCUUGUAUCUAAUAAGUAUAUUUCAUCUUUGUGUGUAGUUUCCUACUGCAGUACACAGAGUACCAGUACAUAUUGUAAUGGUAAUGUACACUCAGUUUUUGACCUCAUGAGGGGAGAACAUCUUACAGAUUAAGCAUUUUAUCCUCCUCACCGCAGUUGGGUGAAUGUAUGAUUGGUAUGGCCAAGAGAGCACACAUAGAAAAUACGACUUUCCAUUGUCUUUAUUUUGUACCUUUUUCUCCGUAUUUGAAUUAUUGGAGCCACGGUUGGAUGCCUGUUAGUCAAGUAUAUAAAAAUUUGUCUGUAUUGACAAGAACUCUCACUUCUAAAAUCCUUUCAUAAGAACCAGCAAGAUGUGGGUUCUUUCAUCUUCUGUUGCUUAGCCUCGCUUGCACUAGGGUUGUAAGCCUGGUUAGACCAUACAGUAAAGCAUAGACUUUUUUUUUUUUUUUUUUUGGUACAUCUCCUCUGUAAGUAGCAAGCCUUAAAUUAAUUUCUUAAAACAGUUAGUUGAGAGUGUGGAGAUGUUGAUGAAUUAUCAUAAUGGUUCCAGAAAAAAGCGGGGAACGAAUACAUCAUGGACACCUAUUUGCUAGUUUUAUAAGGUUAAAAGUAACCAUUUAGCAAUGAAAUUUUUGUAUGACGUGUAAAUAUAUGUAGCCUUUUCUUCCUAAUACUUCACAGUAUCAAAUAAUGUUUGUUUUCCACAGCUACUUUUGCUAAAUAACUUUUGUGAUUAAAUGAAAAAAAACUCUUGAAAGUACUCUUUUUCUCCUCAGGAAUUUCCUUGAAUUUCGUGCAGAGUAGUGACCGUUUAUUUUUAAAAACUGAAAGUCUCUGUUUUGGCAUACUUAUAUAUAUUCACUUACAUGGAGUUAAAUUUUAUUAUUUUUCCUGCUAACUUAAUCUUAAUAAGCGCAGUUAACUUUGCGUGGUCGAAUGUUUGCAGCUCGGGUUUAUCUUCUUAGACUAAAGCCAUUCUAGGGGACUUGAGGGUCCUUAGGACUUUGGGGGCCUCUUGAAUUGUCGGUAGUGCGUUAUUCAGUUGUGUGAAAUCUCAAAUAAUAUAUUAGUCGUCAAAUUAGCGUUACCUUUUAGAGAGGAACGUACGAUUCAACGACAGGCCUGUUCCUGACACUGCAGUUCCUGUUUCCCGUGCGUCUGACCCUCCCCUUCCACCUUCCUCUCCUCCUUUCUAAGAAAGUGUCCUCAACCGUGCCCACUUUUAGGGGCGCAGAGUAGCUCUUAAAUUCAAGCUAAGGGAAACGUGGAAAGGAAAAUAAGAGAUGACAGCAUCGUCUGUUUAGGCUGUUAGAUAUAUAAACUUCACUUAUGUAGCCGGCACCUUAAAAAACACAUUUCUCUCCUAAAGUGUCUUUAGAAAAUACAUCCAUGACGGACUGGCUGAGUGUGCCCAGGUUAGAACUUGGCUGUGUCUGUCCCUUUCCUGAUUUUUCUUUCUGAAAAGUGAAAACAACUCUGGAUCGCUUGUAGGCAUAGGGCGUUGCAUGUCCUUGCUGGGUGAACACAGAUGCACGUCAUGUAUUAAUUGGCGGUGAAGAAAGGUUAUAGCUGACAUGACAAACACGGGACGUUCUGCGGCAUUUGAAUCCACUUUCAAAGAGUUGCUGGAAAGGCAGCAUUGCCUCAGUGAUGUCAUGUGUGGAGUUGAACAGAGUAUUUGCUGCGCUGGAGAAAACUAAUGGAAACAUUCACUUGGGGUAAGACAAAUGGUAUUAAAUGAGAAAACACACCAUGAAUUGCAAAUGGGGCUGAGUUAAUUUGUUGCUACAGUAGUGUUGCCCUACUGUUAAAUGAAGGCUGUGUAAUUAUCUUGCUGGCAGAGAUAAUGUCAAAACCUCAUUUCUCCUUACAUGCCUCGUUUUUACAUGAGGGCUAAUUGAGCUGCAAGGUGACAACUGAUUAUAUAUGGUCCUCUUGCUCAAUUUGCAAAUCAUGUUACCCUUUUUUGAAGUAAGGAUUUUUAUCAGACCUCGAGUGAGGUAGUAAAGAAACUUUUUGAACGGUUUGAGUGAUUUGCAACAUUCUUGUCCAUCUGGAAAUUGUUUUGGAAUAAAUUAUCCUUUUAUAGAUAUUCCUUUAAAACGUUCUCGUGACUCUUCUGACGCAUGUAUAUACCGUAGGUAGAGGAGCGAGCCACACUCACUAUUAAAAAACGCUUUUUAUUUCGUCGAACAAAUUCAAAAAAAAAACACACACUUUUUAUCUUGUAGAACCUUACAGUUCUGUUCAGUCAAAAUGUAUUUGUUUUCUACUUCUUUAAUUUACAAAAAUUUAGGCUUUUUUUAGGCAUUGAAAAUUCAAUGUCAGACGUUCAAAUAAUAGAGAAAAAGUACUUUGUUCAUCUGUCCAUUGAAUUAAAUGUCUUUUUUUUUUUUUUCUUUUUUGGAUAAUAAGACUGUCCUCAUUAGCCUGUAAGCCUUUUCUGUCUCACUACCACGGUAGGUCUUAGUAGAAAGAAAGUCUUAUUAACUGCAACUCCACCCAGGAGGCAGCAUGUUAUUCAGUAAAAUUUUCUGUUUGCUAAAAAUCGGAAGGUUGAACAGUAUAACUAGUUUUUGUGCUUGUUGAUGUUCCUGCAUGUACACUAGACACGAUUCAUUAUCUCCGGAAAAGACUAAGUGGCCGAACAGCUGUAGUUGGAAUAAAUGGACACGUCUUCACUCUGUUGGAGACUCUCCAGGCUUAGUGUGAAAUCCCGAAAACGAAUUCCAGCUGAGAUUAUUAAACACAAAUAGCAGGAAGGGGCGUCUUCAGUUCUUGUGGACUAGCUUGCGUUUGACAAUAAAGAGUCAGAUGAGUUUGGAAGCUCUUUGGAAUCUAAAGGUUGACUGGAACUCGGUGGGAACCCCAGAGCAUCUUAGCACCUGGCCUAGGGUAUUACCAAGAAAAGCAGUGGCAGCAAAAACUUAAUAAGAAGUGAAAAUGGUGUGUUGCAAAAUGUUUUAGAGUACUUUUACAGUUUUCAAAGUUUACUGCCAGAAAACAGCAGGAGGAGUAGCUGACCUGCAACCGUCUCCUUACUUGCUAAGCAUCUCAGUUGAUCUUUACGGGUGAUGUGUGCAAUACAUAAUAUCGCCCGUUUUUAACACAUGAAGAAGCUGGAGUACGCAGAGACUAAGUGGCUUAUUCAGGAUCACGCUGCCAGUGGGUGACUCACUUGAUACUCAUCAGCCGCUGCAGCUGGGGCAUGUACGUCCAUCUAAGUGGGAGGUCCGUGAGUGGAACAACUAGUUCCAGGUUAAACAGCUAGCAAAUGCAGAGCUGGGGUUCACAGACCAGUCUUUUGGCUCGAAGUCUGUUACUGUGGCUCUUGUCUUUGCUAUUUUCCAUUGCUGUUCAGAAGACCAGGCCUUAUGUUUUCUUGAUCAGGGUUUUUCUGUCCUAGUAGUUUUCCACCUGUUCUGCGGAGCCCAUGGCUCCCCUCGGGUGCCUCGGGCCUAGCGUCGGUGCCAGGAAGUGGUGAAGAGGAUAGGAAGCCAGCCUGCUGUCAGUCAUCGUAAUUCAUUCAGCCCGAGGGUUCUGCGCAAGAAUUUAUUGGGAAAGUUUCCACUGCCUGAAAAGUUAUAAAAUGAGCUCUUGCUCCAUGUACUAUUUUUGCUGGAACUCUGUACCAGCGGAUGAAGUUAAUAUGAAAACAUAUACAUGUAUAUUUAAUUAUAUUUCACACAUAUGAAAUAUAAUUAAAUGUAUGUAUAUGUUAUAUAUUUAUAUUUAAUAUAUACAAAAAAUUUUUAAGCGGGAUCCUUGGGUGCCACUUUGCAGUUUUAUUUCUAUACUUUUGGCCCCUCCCUCAACACUGGAGCCCCUGUCAGUCACUGCAGAUUGCUGCAAGUUGAGAUUGACUCCUGGGGUGCCAGGGUGGCCGUCAUUUUCCUGUACCCUGGUGCCUGGGAGUAAAGGGGGGAAUAGGUAGUAUAUGCACGGGGUGGGAAAGGGUGUCAGCGUGCCUGAGAGAAGAGGUACAUUCUUUUGUGAAAUUCCAGUGUACCUGCUUGAAGAAACUCAAACCAGAAACAGUUCUCAAAGAGAAGGGAGUUAACAUUCUGUCCUUAAGAGCUUGGCACUGCCCAGAAAAGAUCCUCUGGGUCAGCUCAAAAGCAAAGCAGGAAUUCCCGUUGUGACUCAGUGGUUAAUGAACCUGACUAGUAUCCACGGGAAUGUGGGUUUGAUCCCUGGCCUCUCUCAGUGGGUUAAGGAUCUGGCAUUGCCAUGAGCUGUGGUGCAGGCCAGCAGCUGCAGCUCCGAUUGGACCCAUAGCCUGGGAACCUCCAUAUUGCUGCAGAUGCGGCCCUAAAGUGACAAAAGAGAAAAAAAAAAAGCAAAGAAAAUACAUAUCCAUACGCUGAAGAGCAGGGGUGACUGUGAGCUGACACCCCGUGUGUUGUCACUCUGCUUUAUCUCCUGUGCUCAUCAGGGCUGAGAAUAACUAUGAUCCACUCUGUGGGUGCUUAGUUUGUAGGUGAGCCCACUCAGACUUUUCAGCGAGCCUUCUGGAUAACGGCAGUGACCUCAGCAAAAACUGAGGAAAAGACCGUUGGCAGGAGAGGAAAUAAAUACCGAUCUGUGAAGAUCCAGUUUUGAAAAUGAACUUGGCACAGAUCACAAUUUGAAAAGAGUAAUGGGUUUACCUUCCGCAGGUAAAAAAAUAAGAGAAGGAGCUUUAGCGGAAGCAAUCUGGUGGACUUGCAUGAAAUGCAUUAAAUAUAUAUACAUGCACACCAGUGACACAUGUCAUCGUAAAUCUUCCCACUGCUUGAAGUGCCACAGGUUUUCCAGUUUUUUCCUCUCCAAAUUUAAUUUUAUCAUCAUGACUGCUGUGCACAUGUCUUUAGAUACCCCUUUUCUUCGGUUCUAAUGACAGCAGAGCAGUGGUGUUUGUGAUUAUUUUGUUACGUUUUGUAGCGGAUGCAGUUAUUUGCCCCCAUGUCGAGUUGUAAUUUUCAAUGUCUGGUUUGAUUCUGCCUAUAAGGAAAAAAUCAAGAAUAUUGCAGAAAUGGCUUUGAAGGAGUUCCCGUUGUGGCUCCGUGGUUAACGAAUCUGACUAGGAACAUGAGGUUGCGGGUUCAAUCCCUGGCCUCACUCAGUGGGUUAAGGAUCUGGCGUUGCCAUGAGCGGUGGUGUAGGUCACAGAUGCAGCUUGGAUCUGGCGUUGCUGUAGCUGUGGCGUAGGCUGGUGACUCCAGCUCCAGUUAGGCCCCUAGCCUGGGACCCUCCAUAUGCCACUGGUGUGGCCCUAGAAAAG
rnacentral:lncRNA from 1 species